rnacentral:misc_RNA from 1 species
CAGACUUUGUGAUCUAGAAUUGUAAGAGAUUACAAAACAAAGUGGCUAUGGCAGAAGAAGAAGUAAAGGUUUUCAGGACAUGGUCAAGUCCAUUUCCUUUAAGAGUGAUAUGGGCACUAAAGCUGAAGGGGGUUGAGUUUGAUACAGUGUAUGAAGAUCUCUCCAACAAGAGUCCUUUGCUUCUGCAAUACAACCCUGUUCAUAAGAAGGUUCCUGUGCUU